GCCAGAGCUGGAAGUUUGGGGAUUCUGGGACAUAAAAAAAACAACAACUGAUCUGACACCAGGUCUAGAGCCUCAGCUGGACUCCUCUUAAAGAAUUAAAGUCAGACGCGUCUGACUGUGCGAUCCCGGUUUAGCUGACCUCUGUUAUGCUAUCUGUCCCACAUCCCACUGACGCACACAGGAGCUGGGCUAAUUUAGGGAUUUAAUGCUUGUUAUGAGGGCAGGAUGGGGUGAUGAAUAUAAAAGAAGGAAUGGACAGAAGGGGCAGAGUGUUCAUGAAUGAACGUGUGUCUCAAAGGAGCCUCAAGCUUUUUCAUCUUCAGCUGGUGAAGCCACUUCAACUUCUGUACCUAAGAAGAUCCAAGUGAACCGGAUUUUCCACUAACGGGAAUCAUGGAAUCAGUGUCUCACUCGUUCUCUCGCCCAGAAGGAUCCAUACCACGGAGAGCCCUGAAGGUCCCGGCUCGGGGGGCCUCCUCACAUUUUGUGGGAUCCACCAUCGUCAUCCUCUCCUCUUACGCUGUAGCGACUCUGGCUAUGAACUGUGGGAAAAAAAUCCAGGAUCAGAGAUUGGGCGCUUUAAAAAACUGAAGCAAGAACUUCAGGGCACUUUAGCUCUAAUGGCUCAUGAUGGAAUUGCCUUAUAACUCAGUUUAUGUGUAUGAGCUGAUGUUAACAGCCUCUGCUGGCUCUGCUGAAGAAAAAAUGACAACUAAUAGAGCUGAUAUGAUUAUGAUGUGUAAUGUUGUAAAGCCACAGGACAGCAUGCAUGGAUUCAGGUCAGCAUCUGAGGACCAUUGUUCCUGACGGUCAGCGGGAGCAGAAACACGUGUCAUUAAAUGUUGUCUCAAUGUAUUUAUUUUUGUUCUGGAUGUAACAUCUAGAGAGGUCCAUUACCAAAUAACUCUAAGUUAUUUAAAUGUCUCAUUUGUACUGUAAUUUAGAUAAUAAAAGCAUUCCAUAAUGGAA